AGCUUGUGGAAAUAUCCUCAUACUGUUAGACAGACACCAACCUUCCAUCCAAACAAUCCAGUAGAAAUGAUUUUGUGGAUACAUUUCAUAUUUAGCUUCUUCAUUUUCAAAGGUAUUUAAUCCCUUUGGUUGGAAUGCAGUUGGUGUGAUUUAUCAGGAAUUCUUUAUAAUCCACAUAUGUAAAUUUUGCAACUCAAUCUCUCUCUCUCUUUCCAGGUGUCCAUGCAGAUAUUUCUCUGGUGGAAUCUGGUGGGGAUGUGAAAAGACCUGGAGAGUCUCUUCGACUCACAUGUACAACAUCAGGAUUCAACAUAGACAGCUACUGGAUACCCUGGAUCCAUCAAGCUCCUGGAAAGGGACUCAAAUGGCUUUCAC